GGAGGCUGGAAAUGGACUGAUGGACCCCAAAGACAAAGCAGGCGGUCCUUCCGUGAGCACCCGGAGGAGAUGCGUUUACAGGCACCAGGGAGUAUGCAGUGGGUUCCCAGAAUGACUGAACAAGAAGCCUGCACGGAGAGGGAGGAUGCUGAGUGUUGGAAGCAGUCAGAAGCAAGAAAACAAAAGCUGCAGGCAUCCCAGCUCCUCCGCGGAUGCUCUGAGUCAUCUUCGUGUUUCUCCUUAAAGACCGACUUCCUCCACAUGGUGAGACAGAUGGCCACCAAGAGCUCCCAAGUUUUAAAGAGAAUGACUUCCCCGACAAGAGGAACAGAGGGCUCCGGCUGUCCUCCUUCACCUGCCGCACUGCACAUUCAAAAGAUCCUGGGGGCUCCUCAGCUGGGGACAGAAGCUGCCUCAGGUAUAUAGGUCAGCAUGGCUCACUCUCCGGGGGUCUUUCAGUCUUUGGGGGAAAGAGAUGGGCAUUUAGAGCUUAGCUGUCCCGUAUGGUAACUGCAAGCCACAUAUGGCUAUUUACAUUUAAGUGAAUUAAAAUUACAUUUAAUUUAAAACUUGGGUCCUCAGUCACACCAGAUGCAUUUUGCAUGUCAAUAGCCACGUGUAGCCAGGGGCUGUUGUGCUGGACAGUACAGCCAUAGGACACGUCCAUUAUUGCGGGAAGUCCUACUGGACAGCGCCAUUCCAGGAAUGGCUGUGUCUCGG
rnacentral:lncRNA from 1 species